CCUACGGGUGGCAGCAGUGGGGAAUAUUGGGCAAUGGGCGCAAGCCUGACCCAGCAACGCCGCGUGAAGGAAGAAGGCUUUCGGGUUGUAAACCUCUUUUGUCAGGGAGCAAGGUGCAGGUCAGGACCUGCUGUGAGAGUACCUGAAGAAAAAGCAUCGGCUAACUCCGUGCCAGCAGCCGCGGUAAUACGGAGGAUGCGAGCGUUAUCCGGAUUUAUUGGGUUUAAAGGGUGCGCAGGCGGAGGCACAAGUCAGCGGUAAAAUCGCGGGGCUCAACCCCGCUCCGCCGUUGAAACUGUGUCCCUUGAGUGCGCGAAGGGUAGGCGGAAUGCGUGGUGUAGCGGUGAAAUGCAUAGAUAUCACGCAGAACUCCGAUCGCGAAGGCAGCCUACCGGCGCGCAACUGACGCUCAUGCACGAAAGCGUGGGUAUCGAACAGGAUUAGAUACCCCUGUAGUC
rnacentral:rRNA from 1 species